rnacentral:rRNA from 1 species
UACGUAGGGUGCGAGCGUUGUCCGGAAUUAUUGGGCGUAAAGAGCUCGUAGGCGGUUUGUUGCGUCGGCCGUGAAAACCUGCAGCUUAACUGUGGGCCUGCGGCCGAUACGGGCAGACUUGAGUUCGGUAGGGGAGACUGGAAUUCCUGGUGUAGCGGUGAAAUGCGCAGAUAUCAGGAGGAACACCGAUGGCGAAGGCAGCUCUCUGGGACGGUACUGACGCUGAGACGCGAAAGCGUGGGGAGCGAACAGG